CGCACGGCGUUGUGCGGGCGGCGUCGCGGGUGGUUCGGCUCCGGUGCGGCGGCGGGACAGGCGACGGUGGUCCUCGGCGAGCUGCUGCUCUUCUUUGCUGGUUUUGGUCUGGUUCGCACAGAGAAGAACGAAGAAGAAGAAGAAGGUCACGUGGGAUGAGGGAGAAGAGAGAGGAGAGAGAAGAAGAGAUGAGAGAGAGAAGUUUUUGACUAGUCAAAGAGGGAAGAGAAAGCAAAGUAGGAAACGGCAAAGGAAAAGGAGAGAGAGUCGGCGUGGGGAGGGGCUGUCCGCACGGAAGAAAAGGGGAGGGAAGAGAGAGAGAAAGAGAG
rnacentral:lncRNA from 1 species